CGGGCGGAUCCUCGGAGCACGCCACGGGGUGCGGCCCGAUCCUCGGCAGGACAGCUGGCCUGAAGCUCAGAGCCGGGGCGUGCGCCAUGGCCCCACACUGGGCUGUCUGGCUGCUGGCAGCAAGGCUGUGGGGCCUGGGCAUUGGGGCUGAGGUGUGGUGGAACCUUGUGCCGCGUAAGACAGUGUCUUCUGGGGGUGAGUGCCUGGAGGGGUGAGGAGGAAGUCAGGGACAGGCUGCUGAGGAGUUGCCCCCAUAGUGUGCUGGCUUUAUUC
rnacentral:lncRNA from 1 species